AAAGGUAAGCUACUAAGAGCGAAUGGUGGAUGCCUUGACUGGUAAAGGCGAUGAAGGACGUACUAGACUGCGAUAAGCUACGGGGAGCUGUCAAGAAGCUUUGAUCCGUAGAUUUCCGAAUGGGGCAACCCAAUGUAUAGAGAUAUACAUUACCUAUAUAGGAGCGAACGAGGGGAAUUGAAACAUCUUAGUACCCUCAGGAAAAGAAAUCAAUAGAGAUUGCGUCAGUAGCGGCGAGCGAAAGCGCAAGAGGGCAAACCCAGUGCUUGCACUGGGGGUUGUAGGACUGCAAUGUGCAAGAGGUAAGUUUAGCAGAACAUUCUGGAAAGUAUAACCAUAGAGGGUGAUAGUCCCGUAUGCGAAAAACAAACCUUAGCUAGCAGUAUCCUGAGUAGGGCGGGACACGAGGAAUCCUGUCUGAAUCCGGGUCGACCACGAUCCAACCCUAAAUACUAAUACCAGAUCGAUAGUGCACAAGUACCGUGAGGGAAAGGUGAAAAGAACUGAGGUGAUCAGAGUGAAAUAGAACCUGAAACCAUUUGCUUACAAUCAUUCAGAGCCCUAUGUAGCAAUACAGGGUGAUGGACUGCCUUUUGCAUAAUGAGCCUGCGAGUUGUGGUGUCUGGCAAGGUUAAGCAAACGCGAAGCCGUAGCGAAAGCGAGUCUGAAUAGGGCGCUUAGUCAGAUGCUGCAGACCCGAAACGAAGUGAUCUAUCCAUGAGCAAGUUGAAGCUAGUGUAAGAACUAGUGGAGGACUGAACCCAUAGGCGUUGAAAAGCCCCGGGAUGACUUGUGGAUAGGGGUGAAAGGCCAAUCAAACUUCGUGAUAG
rnacentral:rRNA from 1 species